GAUGAACGCUGGCGGCGUGCCUAACACAUGCAAGUCGAACGGGAACUCUCAAGUGAAGUUUCGAUGGAUCUUGAGAAAUUCUAGUGGCGGACGGGUGAGUAACGCGUGGGUAACCUGCCCUUAAGAGGGGAAUAACAGUGAGAAAUUACUGCUAAUACACCAUAUGCUUACAGAGUCGCAUGACUCAGUGAGGAAAGGAAAUUCGCUUAAGGAUGGACCCGCGUUUGAUUAGCCAGUUGGCAGGGUAACGGCCUACCAAAGCAACGAUCAAUAGCCGGCCUGAGAGGGUGAACGGCCACAUUGGAACUGAGACACGGUCCAAACUCC
rnacentral:rRNA from 1 species